CAUCACACUGGUAUCUUCAAACCAGCCAGGGCAGGAAUAUUUAUACCAUAGGAAUUGACGAACACUGUAUAUAGGGACUUUCUUCUCUAGAAAUCCAGUUGUUAAUCAUUUACCAGCACAUCCCUGGAUAAACAGGAGUCAGCUAAGUGGAAUGGGAGAAGGAGGACAAGAAAAGAGAAGUCCGGCAGUGUGGACAGCUUGUGUGAAGGCCCAGAGACCACCUGCCAGGCACAGAUCCAGAAAGAAACCAGGACCAGCCCUGUCCACAAGGAGCUGUCUGCAGAGGAGACAGGAUGCCCGUAUAGAAAAUAGGGCUGCAGCAUCAGACGGCUGCUCCCCACCCAGGAUGGAAGGACAAACAGAGAGGAUGCAUCAGGGAAGGGAGAGGCAGAGAAAGCUGACCAGGGUAGGUAGAGAAGGCUUCCCAGGAAGGCGGCAUUCCCAGCAAGGAUGUUGAUCAGACCUGGGCACUCUGCAGUGAUGAUCAGCAGCUCAAGAGCAAGGGUGGCUCCUGACCGUGAGGGGUCAGCACCAGGCCCACAAGCCUGUCUGUUGCACCAGUGCCCAGGAGGGGCUGUGGACUGCGGACCUGUUUUCUCUGGCUCGACCUCACCCAGAACCAGCGGCAGAAAGGCCAGUUAUGCAACCAUCCUCACCACAGCCUGCCAGCCUCAGAGGCUGGGCCUGGCCGCCAGGCCUGGUAAGGAGACUGCUGUGGCCUGCACAGCACAAGGCCAUCCUGGGCCCCGACUGCCACUUUCCAUGCAGGUGCAAGACGCUCUGCUGACAAAUACCUGGGGAAAGCAGGAGCUGUGGGAGGGAGGUAAAAACAGCACAGUUGGCAACAGAGAAGGCUUUUCUAAGUCCUCAGGGUCCUAUUAUUCCUUGUCCAUGGGAUACACAUGAGCUGGCACUGAGCAUUCUCUCUUCUCCAAGGCUCAUGCUUAGAACAGGCACAGAGGCCUGGGAGGCCUCUUGUAUCAUGUCAGGAGCUGCACAGUGAUCAGAAGUUAGGGAGAGCGCCUGUUGCAGAGGCUGGAUUUGAAGGAUAUGCUGGGGCUGCCGUCAUAACCCCACAUCCCCAGUGGGUUCUCUCUGGCCACUCCCUCUACGGCCAGUUCUGUUUUCUCCCCAUUUUUGGAAACCCAAAUUCUUGAUGUUUCUGUUAUUCACAUUGCCAUUAAGAAUUACGGGCUUUGCGCUGUGUUUUUAAUUUGUUGUGUAAGGGUUUUACACAAACACAGCUAGAUGCCUAGAAAAGACAAUGUAUAUGGGCAUGCAGGCUGUGCACUGCACAACUCCAGAGGGCUUCAUUCAUGACCAGGAUGUGAGCGGCGCCCUGGAAUCAUGCAAUGUGGUUACUGGUAUUGCCAGAGAGGAAAUGAUGUCUUACAUGACCCCAUAUCCCCGGGAAAAGGCCAGCCAUGCUAAUAAA
rnacentral:lncRNA from 1 species